UAUAUCUAGGUGUAUGAAGCACAAAAGUUUUUGAUACUUUAGGGAAUAGUUUAAGUCUAUUGGAUAUAAAGGAUAA
rnacentral:tRNA from 1 species